rnacentral:rRNA from 1 species
AUGGCCUGGCAUCAUGUAUCCAUGGAUUUUAUAGAAGGGCUGCCCAACUCUCAAGGCAAAGAAGUCAUACUGGUUGUUGUGGACAGGUUUACAAAAUAUGCCCAUUUCAUACCCCUGUCACAUCCUUAUAAUGUGAUGACUGUAGCCCAGGCCUUUAUGGACAACAUUAUCAGAUUGCAUGGCCCUCCCAAAGUCAUUAUAACAGACAGGGACAGAAUCUUUACAAGCAAGUUGUGGAAAGACAUCUUUGCAGGAAUGAAAAGUGAGUUGAGAUAUAGCAAAGCCUAUCACCCACAAACUGAUGGUCAAACAGAAAGAGUAAACCAAUGUGUAGAAACCUAUCUCAGGUGCAUGACAACUUCUCACCCAAACAAGUGGUGUUCCUGGUUACCUCUAGCAGAAUUUUGGUACAAUACUACUUAUCACACUGCCUUGAAAAUGUCCCCCUUCCAAGCUUUAUAUGGAUUUCCUCCUCCAUUGAUUUCGGAACUAGCAAUACCAGGACCUGAUGAGGAAGAAGCACACAAUUUCCUAGCUGCUAAACAACAAAUGAUGGAGCAACAGAAGAAAAAUCUACAGCAAGCUCAAAACAGAAUGAAAAAGUAUGCAGACCUUAAAAGAAGUGAAAGGAUGUUUGAAGUGGGAGAUAUGGUAUACUUAAAAAUGGCUCCCUACAGAUUAGCAGCUUUUGGAUUCCGAGGAGCCUUGAAGCUACAAAACAAGUAUUAUGGACCAUUUUUAGUUAUCCAGAAAGUGGGCAAGUUGGCAUACAAGUUGCAGUUCCCUCCUCAUGUGCAAAUCCACCCUGUUUUUCAUGUCAGCCAGUUGAAAAAGCACAUUGGUAGUAAAUCUAUUCCAAGCCCUAAUCUACCAAUGGUAGCAGCGGAUGGAACUAUUAAAACAGGGCCCGAGGCAGUGUUGCAAGUGAGGCAAAUUCCCAGGCAUAAUCUCCCUGUGGUGCAGUGGUUUAUACAGUGGCAAAAUCUAUCUCCAGAAGAAGCAACAUGGGAGGAUGCGGACUUCAUCAAGUACACAUUUCCUGACUUUUUCAAGAUCACUACACAAGCAUGGCGCGCAAAUCAACAAACGCCGUGA